rnacentral:rRNA from 1 species
GACGAACGCUGGCGGCGUGCUUAACACAUGCAAGUCGAACGGAAAGGCCUCUUUCGGGGGGUACUCGAGUUGCGAACGGGUGAGUAACACGUGAGUAACCUGCCCUUGACUUUGGGAUAACUUCAGGAAACUGGGGCUAAUACCUGAUAGGAGCUCCUGCUGCAUGGUGGGGGUUGGAAAGUUUCGGCGGUUGGGGAUGGACUCGCGGCUUAUCAGCUUGUUGGUGGGGUAGUGGCUUACCAAGGCUUUGACGGGUAGCCGGCCUGAGAGGGUGACCGGCCGCAUUGGGACUGAGUUGCGGCCCAGACUCCUAAGGGAGGGAGCAGUGGGGAAUAUUGCACAAUGGGUGGAAGCCUGAUGCAGCAACGCCGUGUGCGGGAUGACGGCCUUCGGGUUGUAAACCGCUUUCGCUCAUGACGAAGCUUUGUGUGACGGUAGUGGGUAAAGAAGCACCGGCUAACUACGUG